rnacentral:misc_RNA from 1 species
UUUUUUUUUUUUUUUUUUGUUAUUCAACUCUCAUUUCUAGAGAUGGUAUUGUAUCUUGGUUGUGCUAAGCCUCUCAACUUUUGCUGUCAAUGCAUUCGGUUGAUGUUAAGCUUAUCAAAUUUAUUCAGCUGAAAGCUGAUUUGAUAUCCAUAAUAUUAAUUUUUUAAUCCUGAUGCUUGACUUUCAACUAUCUGUGUAAAAAAAAAAAGAGUACAUGUUGUACUUUGCUUUAUUUGGAUUAGCGCUUGCCCUGAAGACGGCUCGUCAAACUUAAUCCAUGGUCCUGAAAUUUCAAUGGGCAUAACUUUUAUUUGUACUUCAUUUAUCACAUGACUAUAAAAUAAAUUAUAUUUUUCCAG